rnacentral:tRNA from 1 species
GGCGACAUACCCAAGUGGUUAAGGGAGCGGUCUGCAAAAUCGCCAUCUCCGGUUCGAAUCCGGAUGUCGCCU